AUGGAAUUAGGUGAGAAUAAGAAAAAGAAUGUUAGAGGAGAAAGAAGAAACAAAAAGGUUCUUGAAGAUAUUGGAAAUCUUAUGAUUAAUCCAGCAUAUCCUCAUUCUGAUAAGCCUAAGCGCAUCACAAGGAAUCAAUUAGCUUCUAUUGCUCAAGCAGUAAAGAAGAACAAGAUAUUAGUAGUUGAGGCUGUCAAUGGAAACUUUGUUGUUGUAAAAAAAUCUAAGAAACCUACUGCAUAUGAAGUUAUUGUCAUCAGCUCUAAUGAAGAAUCUGAAGUGACAGAGAUAUGA